rnacentral:misc_RNA from 1 species
GAUGAAGAACGUAGCGAAAUGCGAUAAGUAAUGUGAAUUGCAGAAUUCAGUGAAUCAUCGAAUCUUUGAACGCACAUUGCGCCCCCUGGUAUUCCGGGGGGCAUGCCUGUCCGAGCGUCAUUACAACCCUCAAGCUCAGCUUGGUGUUGGGCCCCGCCGCCCCGGCGGGCCCUAAAGUCAGUGGCGGUGCCGUCCGGCUCCGAGCGUAGUAAUUCUUCUCGCUCUGGAGGUCCGGUCGUGUGCUCGCCAGCAACCCCCAAUUUUUUUCAGGUUGACCUCGGAUCAGGUAGGGAUACCCGCUGAACUUAGGCAUAUCAAUAGGCGGAGGA